AGGUGGCUCAGUGGUAGAGUGCUUGCCUUGCAUGCAUGAGGCCCUGGGCUGGGUUCGAUUCCUCAGCCU
rnacentral:tRNA from 1 species